GAAUAACAGUGAGAAAUCAUUGCUAAUACCGCAUAUGCCAUAGGAAUCGCAUGAUUCUAGUGGGAAAGGAGUAAUCCGCUGAUAGAUGAGCUUGCGUCUGAUUAGCUAGUUGGUGGGGUAAAGGCCUACCAAGGCGACGAUCAGUAGCCGGACUGAGAGGUUGAACGGCCACAUUGGGACUGAGAUACGGCCCAGACUCCUACGGGAGGCAGCAGUCGGGAAUAUUGCGCAAUGGAGGAAACUCUGACGCAGUGACGCCGCGUAUAGGAAGAAGGUUUUCGGAUUGUAAACUAUUGUCCAUAGGGAAGAUAAAAGACUGUACCUAUGAAGAAAGCUCCGGCUAACUACGUGCCAGCAGCCGCGGUAAUACGUAGGGAGCAAGCGUUAUCCGGAAUUAUUGGGUGUAAAGGGUGCGUAGACGGGAUAACAAGUUGGUUGUGAAACCCCUCGGCUCAACUGAGGAACUGCAACCAAAACUAUUAUUCUUGAGUGCAGGAGAGGAAAGUGGAAUUCCUAGUGUAGCGGUGAAAUGCGUAGAUAUUAGGAAGAACACCGGUGGCGAAGGCGACUUUCUGGACUGUAACUGACGUUGAGGCACGAAAGUGUGGGGAGCAAACAGGAUUAGAUACCCUGGUAGUCCACACUGUAAACGAUGGAUACUAGGUGUAGGGGGUAUUAAGCCUUCUGU
rnacentral:rRNA from 1 species